rnacentral:rRNA from 1 species
AUACGUAGGGGGCGAGCGUUGUCCGGAAUGAUUGGGCGUAAAGGGCGCGUAGGCGGCAUGUUAAGUCUGGAGUGAAAGUCCUGUUUUCAAGAUGGGAAUUGCUUUGGAUACUGUCGGGCUUGAGUGCAGGAGAGGUAAGUGGAAUUCCCAGUGUAGCGGUGAAAUGCGUAGAGAUUGGGAGGAACGCCAGUGGCGAAGGCGACUUACUGGACUGUAACUGACGCUGAGGCGCGAAAGUGUGGGGAGCAAACAGGAUUAGAUACCCUGGUAGUCCACACUGUAAACGAUGAAUGCUAGGUGUAGGGGGUAUCGACCCCUUCUGUGCCGCAGUCAACACAAUAAGCAUUCCGCCUGGGGAGUACGGCCGCAAGGUUGAAACUCAAAUGAAUUGACGGGG